UACGAAGGGGGCUAGCGUUGCUCGGAAUCACUGGGCGUAAAGGGUGCGUAGGCGGCGUUUUAAGUCAGGGGUGAAAUCCUGGAGCUCAACUCCAGAACUGCCUUUGAUACUGAAGAUCUUGAGUUCGGGAGAGGUGAGUGGAACUGCGAGUGUAGAGGUGAAAUUCGUAGAUAUUCGCAAGAACACCAGUGGCGAAGGCGGCUCACUGGCCCGAUACUGACGCUGAGGCACGAAAGCGUGGGGAGCAAACAGG
rnacentral:rRNA from 1 species